rnacentral:lncRNA from 1 species
GGGGGAGAAGCGAGAUAACCUUCUGGUGGGGCUACGUUGGGGUUUGGGGCGGAUUUAGCAGUUCCAUCAGCAAGGGGGCAGGACGGUAUCGGCGUCCCGGCCAUCGCCCUGCGUUUUGCCUUCAUGCCGCGUUUCGCUAUACUGUGUUUUUGGCGCCUUGAGAAGUCUACGUCAGCCCGGCGGACGAGGUAACGCGCCUGCCGGCGUGUCUCCUUGGGCCUUCGGCGCCUCGACCUCAUCUUCAUUCCCGCCAAAACCCAAAACAAAACAAAACAAAACAAAAAAAACAAACAAAAAAAAGAAUAAUAUGAGACUAUUCCGAGUUUGACGGCACAGUUGUGAAGCAGCUAGGAGGAGAGAAAGCUGACGCUCGUUUUGCUUCAAGCGUAUUUCAGACGCCCCCGAAUCAUGUAUCGCUCAGGCACGCUGGUUAGCGCCUGGCUCUGCCGCGGCUCCCGCUAACGCCGAGGUGGCUGGGUGGUGGUGUUACUGCAGGGUAUUUGGCCGUUGAAAGUACCUGUAGUAUGAGAGCAUCGUUUGGGCCUGAAGUGGGCUGGAUCGGUUGAUUCCGCUGAUCGUUUCGCUGCAGAAAUCAUUUCUGCUUUCCAAAACAGUCCCUGAAAUGGCGUUAUCUGUCCUCGCCGGGAGUUUAUUCAGCUACGGUGAUUUCUCCGCCUCUCCAGAGAGCUCAUUUCGAGAAUUCUGGCUGACGGCAUGGAGACCGUUCGAAGGCGUGAUCUCAAGUCUGCGUUGGCGAAACCAUCCAAAAGAAGGGCCCUUGCACAAACUGAGCCCCUGCAGACAGCACAUUUGAUGUCGCGCGCCAUCGUGCCGUGCCUACAUCUUGCACGAAAGGCUGCGUCUCUCUGCUGAGGAUUGCUGCUGGGCCACACGCGUCCUCCGGAGAAAGUAUGAACCAGCUGCGAGCAGGUGGAGAAGUCGCACCACGCUGCAAAGUCUGAAGUCCCUGGACAGUCUGGGAAUGGAGGACACCCUUGCCAGGGUCAUCCCCAGUCCUUCAUAUUGGGGAGGUGGAUGAUAGCUUGGACAGACGCCUCUUUUUCAGCUUUAUCUGCAAAGGCAGAGAGGGUGAAGGACAUCCUGAUGUAUGCCAGUGGGGACACUGUGCUGCAGCUCCCGGCCACUUUUCUGAGACAUCUGCACCCUGAGGUCAAACCCUGCAACUUUCUAUAAGCUGUUUAGGCUAAAUUAACUCCAUGGCA